rnacentral:rRNA from 1 species
UACGUAGGUGGCAAGCGUUGUCCGGAUUUACUGGGCGUAAAGGGCGUGCAGGCGGUUUGUUAAGUCUAGGGUGAAAGCUCCCGGCUCAACUGGGAGAGGUCCUUGGAUACUGGCAGACUUGAGGAGGGUAGAGGAGAGUGGAAUUCCCGGUGUAGUGGUGAUAUGCGUAGAUAUCGGGAGGAACACCAGUGGCGAAGGCGGCUCUCUGGGCCCUACCUGACGCUGAGACGCGAAAGCGUGGGGAGCGAACCGGAUUAGAAACCCCCGUAGUCC